GGCCGUCUGGCGAAAUGGUAUCGCGUCACUUUCCGGUAUCCGGUGGAAUUGGUGAAGAUUGUGGGUUCGAGUCCCACGGUGGUCG
rnacentral:tRNA from 2 species